rnacentral:misc_RNA from 1 species
GAUGAAGAACGCAGUGAAAUGCGAUAAGUAAUGUGAAUUGCAGAAUUCAGUGAAUCAUCGAAUCUUUGAACGCACAUUGCGCCCGGUAGUAUUCUGCCGGGCAUGCCUGUUCGAGCGUCAUUUCAACCAUCAAGCCCCAGCGCUUGUGUUGGGGGCCUGCGGCUGCCGCAGCCCCCCAAAAGCAGUGGCGGGCUCGCUAUCACACCGAGUGCAGUAGUUCAUCUUCUCUCCGGUCUUGUGAGGCGGGUUCCGGCCGUGAAACACCCCACUACAUUCAAGGUUGACCUCGGAUCAGGUAGGAAUACCCGCUGAACUUAAGCAUAUCAAUAAGCGGAGA